UGCGGAAUAUUGGUCAAUGGCCGAGAGCCUGAACCAGCCAAGUAGCGUGCAGGAUGACGGCCNUAUGGGUUGUAAACUGCUUUUAUGGGGGGAUAAAGUGAGUUACGGGUAGUUUAUUGCAGGUACCACAUGAAUAAGGACCGCCUAAUUCCCUGCCAGCAGCCGCGGUAAUACGGAAGGUCCAGGCGUUCUUCGGAUUUUUUGGGCUUAAAGGGAGUGUAGGCCGAGGUUUAAGCGUGUUUUGAAAAGUAGACGCUCAAAGUUUGAAUUGCAGCUCGAAGUGGUUCACUUGAGUAUGCACAUCGUAGGUGGAAUUCCUCGUGUAGCGGUGAAAUGCUCAGAUAUGACGAAGAACUCCGACUGCGAAGGCAGUUUACGGGAGCACAACAGACGCUGAAGCUCGAAGGUGCGGGUAUCAAACAGGAUUAGAUACCCUGGUAGUCCGCACAGUAAACGACGGAUGCCCGUUGCUAGUUCAACUAAGAAUUAGCGACCAAGAGAAAGCAUUAAGCAUUCCACCUGGGGAGUACGCCGGCAGCGGUG
rnacentral:rRNA from 1 species